rnacentral:rRNA from 1 species
UGGGGAAUUUUGGACAAUGGGCGCAAGCCUGAUCCAGCCAUGCCGCGUGCGGGAAGAAGGCCUUCGGGUUGUAAACCAUCUUUGUCGAAGGGAAAGAAAUCUUCUGAGUUAAUACCUCGGGAGGAUGACGGUACCUGAAGAAUAAGCACCGGCUAACUACGUGCCAGCAGCCGCGGUAAUACGUAGGGUGCAAGCGUUAAUCGGAAUUACUGGGCGUAAAGCGUGCGCAGGCGGUUUUGUAAGACAGAGGUGAAAUCCCCGGGCUCAACCUGGGAACUGCCUUUGUGACUGCAAGGCUUGAGUGCGGCAGAGGGGGGAUGGAAUUCCGCGUGUAGCGUGAAAUGCGUAGAUAUGCGGGAGAACACCG